rnacentral:rRNA from 1 species
UACAGAGGGUGCGAGCGUUAAUCGGAAUUACUGGGCGUAAAGCGCACGUAGGUGGCGACGUAAGUCGGGUGUGAAAGCCCCGGGCUCAACCUGGGAAUUGCAUUCGAGACUGCGUUGCUGGAGUACGGAAGAGGAAGGCGGAAUUCCCGGUGUAGCGGUGAAAUGCGUAGAUAUCGGGAGGAACAUCAGUGGCGAAGGCGGCCUUCUGGUCCAGUACUGACACUCAAGUGCGAAAGCGUGGGGAGCAAACAGG